GCCUGGGUGGCUCAGUUGGUUAAGCAUCUGGCUUCAGCUCAGGUCAUGAUCUCAAGGUUUGUGAGUUUGAGCCCCACAUCAGGCU
rnacentral:tRNA from 1 species